GGCCCGCAAGGGUGCCGGCGAGCGGCGGACGGGUGAGCAAUACAUAGGAAUCUACCUUAGAGCGGGGGAUAGCCCGGGGAAACCCGGAUUAAUACCGCAUGAUGUCGAGAGACCAAAGUGGGGGAUCGUAAGACCUCACACUCUGAGAUGAGCCUAUGUCGGAUUAGCUAGUUGGCGGGGUAACGGCCCACCAAGGCGACGAUCCGUAGCUGGUCUGAGAGGACGAUCAGCCACACCGGAACUGAGACACGGUCCGGACUCCUACGGGAGGCAGCAGUGGGGAAUAUUGGACAAUGGGCGAAAGCCUGACGCAGCGACGCCGCGUGGGUGAUGAAGGCCUUCGGG
rnacentral:rRNA from 1 species